rnacentral:rRNA from 1 species
GUGUCAGCAGCCGCGGUAAGACGAACCACACAAACGUUAUUCGGAAUUACUGGGCUUAAAGGGUGCGUAGGCUGCGCAGUAAGUUGGGUGUGAAAUACCUCGGCUCAACCGAGGAACUGCGCCCAAAACUACUGUGCUUGAGGAAGAUAGAGGUGAGCGGAACUUACGGUGGAGCGGUGAAAUGCGUUGAUAUCGUAAGGAACACCUGUGGCGAAAGCGGCUCACUGGGUCUUUUCUGACGCUGAUGCACGAAAGCUAGGGGAGCAAACGGGAUUAGAUACCCCAGUAGUCC